AUGGAUCUGUGGCUGGAAGUGAUGAUUUUUACAUUACUUAUUACUGAAUGCAGUGCAGAUAGCGUUAAUCAGCCAGACACACGUGUAACUGAAUCUGAAGGAAGAUCAGUGAUGUUACAGUGCAAAUACACUGCAACUUCCACAACAACACCAGACCUCUACUGGUACAUCCAGAGAGACAAUGACAUUCCCAAAUACAUCCUGAGGAAAAACAAAUACGGAGGAGAAAAUGGCACAGAGUUUCACAAGAGAUUUCACGUUGAAUUUACAAUGGAUUCAGUUCCUCUGACAAUCAAGGAUGUGCGAGUGUCAGACUCUGCUGUGUAUUACUGUGCUCUGAAGCCCACAGUGACUCAAACACACUCAAGUCUUUGA